CGGUUAAAACAUAGAAAUCCCGAAAUCCAGCAGCUCCGCCCGCUGUGCUUUGGGGUCUCUCUCUCCUCCUCGUCCGGGCUCCACAUCCAUCUCUGUGCGAGUCUCGCCGAUUCGUCUCUCUUUCCUAACAUUGCCCUUUUCAAUACACAUCUCUCCCUUCUUUUCUCCCUUUUCUCCCUUCUCGGCGCCAUCCCGCGCUUCACCACCUGGAUUCACACUCCACCUCUCAACGUUCAGCGGAUCGAUGCCCACAUCUCUUAAUUUCAUCAUCCACGAUCUCCUAACCCAGGACCUUAACGCAUAAGUGCUCAUGAUUCGCAACUAUGCAUCCUCACGCUGUAGUGUUUUGAAUAUGCAAGUCAAACCGGGUAAUACAUUUGUUCCGAUCUAGGUUUUUCUUUGGGUACUGAAAUGAUGGGUUCCGAGAGUCCGAAUGGUUCUUCGACGCCGCUUUCUCCUCAGCAAGCCAAAAAGUAUGGGAUCACAAAACCCAUCUCUCUGGCCGGUCCUAACGAGGCUGAUUUCCAUCGGAACAUGGAACUGGAGAGGUUUUUGGUUGAUUCCGGGCUUUACGAGAGCAAAGAAGAAGCUGCAAAGAGAGAAGAGGUACUUGGUCGCCUUGAUCAGAUUGUAAAAUGUUGGGUGAAGCAGUUGACUCGCCAACGAGGGUACACAGAUCAGAUGGUAGAGGAUGCAAAUGCCGUCAUAUUCACAUUUGGUUCUUAUCGUCUAGGGGUGCAUGGACCUGGGGCUGACAUAGAUACUCUGUGUAUUGGUCCUUCAUAUGUGAAUCGAGAGGAAGACUUCUUUGUCAUACUGCAUAACAUCCUCGCUGAAAUGGAGGAAGUUACUGAACUUCAACCAGUUUCUGAUGCUCAUGUUCCAGUAAUGAAGUUCAAGUUUCUUGGAAUAUCAAUAGAUUUACUUUAUGCGAGUGUAUCCCUUUUGGUUGUCCCAGAAGACCUGGAUAUCUCAAAUGGGUCUGUGCUAUAUGAUGUUGAUGAACCAACUGUUCGAAGUCUUAAUGGCUGCCGAGUGGCAGAUCAAAUUCUUAAACUCGUUCCAAAUGUCGAGCACUUCCGAACUACUCUGAGAUGUUUAAAGUUUUGGGCAAAAAGGCGUGGUGUUUACUCAAAUGUUACUGGAUUCCUUGGUGGUGUAAAUUGGGCUCUUUUAGUUGCUCGUGUUUGCCAGCUUUAUCCUCAUGCAAAUCCUAGUAUGUUAGUUUCUCGAUUCUUCAGGGUUUAUACACAGUGGCGGUGGCCAAACCCUGUAAUGUUGUGUUCUAUAGAAGAGAAUGAACUGGGUUUCCCUGUAUGGGAUCCUCGUAGAAACCCGCGGGAUAGAUUUCAUCUUAUGCCAAUAAUCACUCCCGCAUAUCCAUGCAUGAAUUCUAGCUACAAUGUCUCAGCAAGUACUCUGCGUGUUAUGGUAGAACAGUUUCACUAUGGCAACAGGAUCUGUGAGGAAAUUGAGCUCAGCAAAGCCCACUGGAGUUCUCUUUUUGAGCCAUAUCUCUUUUUUGAGGCAUAUAAAAACUAUCUGCAAGUGGACAUAAUAGCAGCAGAUGCUGAUGAUUUACUGGCAUGGAAGGGCUGGGUAGAAUCUAGGUGGAGACAACUUACCCUAAAGAUAGAGCGGGACACAAAUGGGAUGUUGCAGUGUCAUCCAUACCCCCACGAGUACUCAGACACUUCCAAGCCUUGCCCACAUUCUGCAUUUUUCAUGGGUUUGCAAAGGAAAGCAGGAGUUAGAGGUCAAGAAGGCCAGCAGUUUGACAUACGUAAAACAGUAGAUGAAUUUAGACAAGAGAUAAACAUGUAUGUAUAUUGGAAACCAGGGAUGGAAAUUUAUGUUUCUCAUGUUCGUCGAAAGCAGCUCCCUCCAUUUGUUUUUCCAGAUGGUUAUAAACGGACUAGAAUGCCAAGGCAUCUGAUCCAUCCUUCUGAAAACAUGAAUGAAAAUACUACGAAGUGCUACUCUGGAUCUACUGAAAGAGGCAACAAAAGGAAAAGUGAUCCUGAAAUGGUGAAUUUGAAGACAAGCCAACCAGAAAAGCGAUCAUCUAUGAGCCCACAAAGGCUAGAUUCUUUUUCUCCUGAAGGUAGUAUUAGUAGAUCAGGUGGUACCUCUCAUAUGAGUAUUGAAUGUAUUGAUAGGUUAGAAGAUUCAACAAGCAAGGAUGCUGAUAGCAAUUGUAGAAUUAAAACAUCUGUUGGGCUCCUGGGAGGUGGAAUAGGCACUGUAGGACCUGAAAUACAGAUUAGUGAAACAGAUGCUUGCACACUUGAUGAGCAGAAAUCAAGAGGUCUGGGAGUUCAAAAUGAGAAUGGAGUUGAUGGGAACAAAGUUCGGGAUUGCUUGGAAAGUGAUGAAACUGCAUCUAUAAAAUGCUUGCUGAGUUCUGAACGGAGUGUUGUUAGUACAGACCAACAAGUAGUCAAAGCUUGUAAUUUGGCAAGAGCUGAACAUGCGGACUACGCACCAAGUGCCAGCAACCGGAACUUCAACUGUGAGUGAGGGCCACGGAUCUUUGCAGGGUGAUGUCUGUGUGGCAGAUCCUAAUUCUGUUUUGAAGAGUGGAUGUUUUGAUGGGAAUAGAGUAUUUCAAAAUAGCAAGGCUGAAGAAUUGAAGCCUGAUGCCAGACUUGGAAGUGUUGUAUGAACACAAGAUGGGCUAGGUCGGAAUCUUCACAGAAGCUUAGUGACAAGGCAUGCGUGUAAACUCUUGCAAUGUGACCAAGUUAUAUCUUUAUUCUUUCAUGUUGGGUGGUCGCUUUUUGUAGGAGUCAGAAUGGAACACAGCAUGAGCGUUGGGAGGUGAUUUACUGAAAUCUCUGGUCCCGUUCCUUCCACCUUAUGCUGUAUUGGGGGUUUGACGUCCUGAGAUGGAGUGAGGGCGAGGUUGUAUUUAAAGCGUUGAGGAGCAAAUGCAGUUGAAAAUGCUGAAAUUAGUCUGGCUUUUUGGGAACAGAUCUGCAACUGUCGUUUGUACAUAGAUGAAGCGUAAUGGAGAUUGCUCGAAAUUGUGGGUUUCAUUCAAUCCUGUUUUCUGUGAAUCUAGGUCUCAUCUGAAGAGCUUUGAUUGUUGUCUCAUGCGACCUAAAUAUUUACGUUAUUUAACUUGUAAGAUAAGUUGAACUUAUGAUGUGGCGGAUGCAUGACGUAAAUGUAAUCAAUAGUUGAUUGGGCUGGACGAUUUAGAAGGGAAAAGCAUGGCGGCUGAUGAGUGAGUGGGUCUUUCAUUACCAUGCCUACCCUUCGAAGUUUAGACUCUGACCGGGAUCAUUAUUGCCUAUUGUCUCUUCUUUCAAUGUCGGUGAAAAACUGUAGUAAAUUAUCGUCUUUGGCGACGGAGCACGGUUUCCGUGUGAUUUGGUGGUUUAAAGAGCUCAGGUUUUCUUGCGGGUUGGAGAUUCAGUAGAGGGUGGGUGGAAAGCGAGACAAGAAAAUCAGGGAAGCACCGCGUUUUUUCUGGGCCACGACGUAAACGCCGUCUCUGUAUCCGAAGCCUCAUGAAUUCAUGAUAGUGCUGUGAUCCGGUUGACUUGUAGUUCUAUAUUAAAUUAUAAAAUAAUUUAAGACACA